CCCUAAAAAUAACCUCAGUCGUUGUUUCCUAAUUCCUAUAAGAUCCCAAUUUUCGCCAAAGAACCCUACGGCACCCAAAUUAGGGUUUCAGAAGUUCAAGAACAUUCCUUCCUCCAACUUCAUGAUGAACGAUGCUCUCAUUUCUCCUACCGUUCUUUAGUUCUUAAUCUUUAUUCAUAGUUCAAUUGUUUGUAUCUUUUUUAAUUUCAUGAUUUUGAGUUAUUACAGUGAUCUGUAGACGUUAAUUCUUCGUCUUUGGUUUGCUCUGAUGUUGCUGAUUCGUCAAUUACAGUUGUUGUAAAGCUUGAUUCCGUGAGUUUUUCAAAUGCUCAUUGGAUUUGAUUGGCAGGUUGGUUAUCUUGUAUCAACUCUGUGUCUGAGGAUGACGAAAUGAAGUUCCUCCAUACCAUUAUUCUUUGUGAAACUGUUUUGACUUUGUAACACAAGGAGGAUACAAAUUUCUUCAUCCUUGUCUGACUUUUUACUACAUCAAGUGUACAGGUGAUUGAUAACAAACAUGGUUAUCUUUCUCAUUGAUUAGAUCGAUCAUUCUCUUUUUCAACGACGAGGCAAUAUUUUUUCUGUCAUCUAUAAAGCAAAUAGGAUAUUUCUAUACCAAAUUUGUGUCGGAAGAUGACGAUAUGAAUUAGGCAAUCCUCUAUUCAUUUUGAAGACCUGGAAAUUCCCUCCAUUUUUUCAAGUAGAGGUUGUCGACACAUUUCAGAUGUCUCUGUUUGAAAAUUUGAUUAUUGCUACUUUGAGUUUUUUUCUCUUUUUUGAAUGAGUGAAUAAUCAUGUUUUGACUAGUUGAUAUGUUCCAGUCAUCCAUAAAGCAAAUAGGUUGUUUUGUAUACCAAUUUUUGUGUCGGAAGAUGACAACAUCCACUGUGAUGCUUCUACAUUUUGAAAGGUUGUACCUCUUUCUAGUAGAAGUUGUCACAAAUAUAUUUCUUCAAAUGCCUAUGUCUCCACCCUUGAUGUUAUUUUCUUACCAAGUUUGUUAGUUGCUUUAUUUGGAAAUUGUCAGAAGUGAACUAAAAAGCUUUCAUCUUUCACAAUUAGCUCCUUUUGGAGUAUCCGUGGGAAUAGUUUUUCUUGGUCCUUCUCGGUCAAUAUUGAAAUUUGAAUGGAAGUUGACCGUGUACAGGCUCUACUGAUUAUGAAUUUCUCAUUGUUCCCUACUAUGUGGUGGCCUAGAAAAGCGAAACAGAUUUCGUGGUGAUCGUGCAACAUGAUGCCUAGUGUGCUAGGAAGCACAGAUACUGAUUAUUUAGUAAAAGAAAUUUAAUAUAUAUCAUGCAUAUAAACAUAUUACAUAACAAGUUCACGUUGGUGAGAUGGUUAGGGCUGAGAGGAUUGGGGAGUAUCGAAGAAGGGAUGGUGGAGUGUGUGAAGCUUUUUGAUUCAAUCGGUGUCAGAAACGUUUUUGACAUCGGCGGUUUUUCUUAGGUAGUGUACACAUGAAAAAAAGAAAAGAAAAUAAUGGCAUGCAUAUGUUGAAUGAUGGGAGGUUGGAGGUGGGCGGAGUUCACUUUGUUGAAUAAGAUGGCCAGUGAUGAACAUGGUAAGUUGCAGUUUGUUGUGUCUCUAUAACGAUCUUGCUCUAAAUGGUUCUGUUUCAUAGAUUGUACAACUACGGCCCUUGUGUUUCA